rnacentral:tRNA from 1 species
AAUAAGGUGGCUGAGGUGAGGCGUUAGAUUGUAAAUCUAUUGACGGAUUAAGAUCCUCUUAUU